UACAGAGGGGGCAAGCGUUGUUCGGAAUUACUGGGCGUAAAGGGCGCGUAGGCGGCCUGUUAAGUCGAACGUGAAAUCCCCGGGCUCAACCCGGGAACUGCGUCCGAUACUGGCAGGCUUGAAUCCGGGAGAGGGAUGCGGAAUUCCAGGUGUAGCGGUGAAAUGCGUAGAUAUCUGGAGGAACACCGGUGGCGAAAGCGCUCAUCUGGCCCAAUACUGACGCUGAAGCUCGAAAGCUAGGGGAGCAAACGGG
rnacentral:rRNA from 1 species